rnacentral:SRP_RNA from 2 species
GCCGGGUGUGGUGGCUCACACCUGUAAUCCCAGCACUUUGGGAGGCUGAGGCAGGUGGAUCACCUGAGGUCAGGAGUUUGAGACCAGCCUGGCCAACAUGGUGAAACCCUGUCUCUA